rnacentral:rRNA from 1 species
UACGGAGGGUGCAAGCGUUAUCCGGAUUCACUGGGUUUAAAGGGUGCGUAGGUGGGCUGGUAAGUCAGUGGUGAAAUCUCCAAGCUUAACUUGGAAACUGCCAUUGAUACUAUUAGUCUUGAAUACCGUGGAGGUCAGCGGAAUAUGUCAUGUAGCGGUGAAAUGCUUAGAUAUGACAUAGAACACCAAUUGCGAAGGCAGCUGGCUACACGAAUAUUGACACUGAUGCACGAAAGCGUGGGGAUCAAACAGG